rnacentral:tRNA from 1 species
GCGGUCGUGGCGGAAUUGGCAGACGCGCACGGUUGAGGGCCGUGUGCCGCAAGGCGUAAGGGUUCAAGUCCCUUCGACCGCACCA